rfam:Pan troglodytes isolate Yerkes chimp pedigree #C0471 (Clint) chromosome 3, whole genome shotgun sequence.
GCCGGGCAUGGCGGCGUGUGCCUGUAGUCCCAGCUACUCGGGAGGCUGAGGCAGGAGAAUUGCUUGAACCCAGGAGGUGGAGGCUGCAGUGAGCCAAGAUCGUGCCACUGCAGUGACCUGAGAUCACGCCACUGCACUCCAGCCUGGGUGACAGAGCAAGACUCCGUUUCAA